rnacentral:lncRNA from 1 species
AGGCAACCCUGACUAUAUUAAGCAGGUAAGCAACUUUGGAAAGCCACCCUCUAUGAUGACAAUCCACAGGCCAGGCAAACCUUCACGGAGAUAAUGUCUGAGACCAAAAGAGACAUGAAAAGCCAGUUGGAAGCAGUUUGGUUACAGGAGUACUGUUUGAUUGGCAACUGCAAUGGGCCCUUACAGUCCCCUCAGCUCCACACAGCUCAGAAGAACUGCACUCUGAUGGUUGAUUGUAACACUGAAGCAGCUUUGAGUUCUUGAGGAAGGCUUGAGUACUUGCUGGCAUUGAAGUAGCCACCCCAAUCUGGCUAUGACAUUUU